UACGUAGGGUGCAAGCGUUAAUCGGAAUUACUGGGCGUAAAGCGUGCGCAGGCGGUCUUUUAAGUCAGAUGUGAAAUCCCCGGGCUUAACCUGGGAACUGCGUUUGAAACUGGAAGGCUAGAGUGUGGCAGAGGGGGUGGAAUUCCACGUGUAGCAGUGAAAUGCGUAGAUAUGUGGAGGAACACCGAUGGCGAAGGCAGCCCCCUGGGCUAACACUGACGCUCAUGCACGAAAGCGUGGGGAGCAAACAGG
rnacentral:rRNA from 1 species